rnacentral:rRNA from 1 species
CUCACGUAAUGGAGGCAUCUGAUCCAGCCAUGCCGCGUGCAGGAAGACGGCCCUAUGGGUUGUAAACUGCUUUUGUAUGGGAGCAAUAAGAUCUACGUGUAGAUUGAUGAGAGUACCAUACGAAUAAGCACCGGCUAACUCCAUGCCAGCAGCCGCGGUAAUAGAAA